AAAAAAAAAAAAGCUGGGUGUAGCACUAAUUAUUCCCCAGCUCCUAAUUAGUCGCUUGCAUUUCAGAUCUGGAUUCGGCUCCAGCAGCAGCUCAGCGAGCCCGUUGUGCUAUUAAUACUCCCCUGGCGUGAUACGGUUAAAAAUACUCCCACCCUGUCAGGACAAAAUGUGGCUUGGAAGUGUCGCGAGGGGAGGAGCUGAGGGAUGGAAAUCCUCUUAAAGGAGUAUGGCUUCCCCAAAAUCAAAUGAACAAAACGAACGGGCUCCGUUCAGCCCCCGCAAGGAGCAGAUGUGGCGAUGAUCCUGGGGGCAGAGCCCUCGGGGCACCCCAAAUCGGAGCAGCUUCCCCGGCACAGCCCAGUGGGAAGCGUUCGAUUUUCCAGGAGCUCUCCUGCCUGGGGAGCAGCUAGGUUUGCAGCUCUCAGGUGCUGAAGUUCUGGCCAAAAGGCGGAAUUUUGAGGUGCCCCCCACUCCUCACGCCCAGGGAAGGCAGGAGGAGCCAGAGCAGCAGCCAGGGCUGCUUUCCCUAUCCUCUCAGGACGAGGAGCAGCUCCCCUCCUGUCUGCCCUGACAAUUCCACAUCCAAAGGGGUUCGUUGCUGCUCCCUGCCCCUGGAAUCUCAGCAAUACCAGCACAGGAACGAUUCCUGCACUUCACACUUGCCCUGUGCUUCCUCAUCCCUUUUUCCCCGACCAAUUUGAGCCCGUGAUAGAUCAAUACAUAAAUUAAAAGACAAAAGAACCUGACACAUCCACUGUGGCUGUGAGAACAGACCAAGCCAGGCUUUCUGCUGGAAAAAACAUCCAUCUUUUACACAAUAAACCAGCAAUCUGCUGCUCCACGCCAAAAUCAACACCCUCAGAGGCACCCUUGUGUGAUGGGCAACACAGGGGCUUUGUUUUAAUUAAAUUAAAAAUAAAUAACCCCCAAAAACAA